rnacentral:rRNA from 1 species
AGGGGUUUUGAUCCUGGCCUCAGGAUAAACGCUGGCGGCGUGCAUAACACAUGCAAGUCGAACGAUGAAGCUUAACUGAUUUCUUCGGAAUGAUUUUAAGUGGAUUAGUGGCGGACGGGUGAGUAACGCGUGAGUAACCUGCCCUGCACAAGGGGAUAGCCGUUGGAAACGACGAAUAAUACCCUAUGAUAUAAACUCUUCGCAUGAAGAGCUUAUCAAAGAUUUAUCGGUGUAAGAUGGACUCGCGUCUGAUUAGCUAGUUGGUGGGAUAAAAGCCUACCAAGGCAACGAUCAGUAGCCGGCUUGAGAGAGUGUACGGCCACAUUGGGACUGAGACACGGCCCAGACUCCUACGGGGAGGCAGCAGUGGGGAAUUUUGCACAAUGGGGGAAACCCUGAUGCAGCGACGCCGCGUGAUUAGAAGGCCUUCGGGUUGUAAAAUCUUUUGUAUGGGNAAGAAAAUGACAAUUACCAUACGGAAUAAAGGACCGGCUAAUUUCGUGCCAGCAGNCGCGGGUAAU